rnacentral:rRNA from 1 species
UACGGAGGGAGCUAGCGUUGUUCGGAAUUACUGGGCGUAAAGCGCACGUAGGCGGCUUUGUAAGUUAGAGGUGAAAGCCUGGGGCUCAACCCCGGAAUUGCCUUUAAGACUGCAUCGCUUGAAUCCAGGAGAGGUGAGUGGAAUUCCGAGUGUAGAGGUGAAAUUCGUAGAUAUUCGGAAGAACACCAGUGGCGAAGGCGGCUCACUGGACUGGUAUUGACGCUAAGGUGCGAAAGCAUGGGGAGCAAACAGG